AGUGAACGCUGGCGGUAGGCCUAACACAUGCAAGUCGAACGGCAGCACAGUAAGAGCUUGCUCUUACGGGUGGCGAGUGGCGGACGGGUGAGGAAUACAUCGGAAUCUACUUUUUCGUGGGGGAUAACGUAGGGAAACUUACGCUAAUACCGCAUACGACCUACGGGUGAAAGCAGGGGAUCUUCGGACCUUGCGCGAUUGAAUGAGCCGAUGUCGGAUUAGCUAGUUGUCGGGGUAAAGGCCCACCAAGGCGACGAUCCGUAGCUGGUCUGAGAGGAUGAUCAGCCACACUGGAACUGGGACACGGUCCAGACUCCUACGGGAGGCAGCAGUGGGGAAUAUUGGACAAUGGGCGCAAGCCUGAUCCAGCCAUACCGCGUGGGUGAAGAAGGCCUUCGGGUUGUAAAGCCCUUUUGUUGGGAAAGAAAAGCAGCAGGUUAAUACCCCGCUGUUCUGACGGUACCCAAAGAAUAAGCACCGGCUAACUUCGUG
rnacentral:rRNA from 1 species